GACGAACCGUCCAAACGUUAUUCGGAAUUACUGGGCUUAAAGGGUGCGUAGGCGGCGCAGAAAGUAGGGUGUGAAAUCCCUCGGCUCAACCGAGGAACUGCGUCCUAAACUACUGUGCUCGAGGGAGAUAGAGGUGAGCGGAACUUAGGGUGGAGCGGUGAAAUGCGUUGAUAUCCUAAGGAACACCGGUGGCGAAAGCGGCUCACUGGAUCUUUUCUGACGCUGAGGCACGAAAGCCAGGGGAGCAAACGGG
rnacentral:rRNA from 1 species